rnacentral:rRNA from 1 species
ACGAACGCUUGCGGCGUGCCUAAGAAAUGCAAGUCGAACGGAUCGGCCAGCAAUGGUCGGUUAGUGGCGAAACGGUUCGGCGUAACACGUAAGCAACCUGCCUCAAAGUGGGGGGACAACAGAUCGAAAGGUCUGCUAAUACCGCAUGUGGUCCGUGUUUGGCAUCUUACAUGGACUAAAGCCUUGUGCGCUUUUGAGAUGGGCUUGCGGGCCUAUCAGGUAGCUGGUGGGGGUAACGGCCUACCAAGCCGACGACGGGUAGCUGGUCUGAGAGGACGAUCAGCCGGAAUUGGGACUGAGAUACGGCCCAGACUCCUACGGGGGGCAGCAAUUAGGAAAUCUUGCGCAAUGGGGGAAACCCUGACGCAGCGACGCCGCGUGCGGGGACGAAGGCCUUCGGGUCGUAAACCGCUUUUUUAGGGGAAGAAGAAUGUGACGGUACCCUAAGAAUAAGCCCCGGCUAACUACGUGCCAGCAGCCGCGGUAUACGUAGGGGGGCGAGCGUUUGGUCCGAAGUUACUGGGCGUUAAAAGCGCGCGUAGGCGGCUAUUUAAGUCUGAGGUGAAAGGUUCAGCGCUCAAACGUGAACAGUGCCUUGGAUACUGGGUAGCUUGAGUUCGGGAGGGGGGCAGUGGAAUUCCAGGUGUAGCGGUUGAAAUGCGUAGAUAUCUGGAGGAACACCGAUGGCGAAGGCAGCUGCCUGGCCCAGAACUGACGCUGAGGUGCGAAAGCGUGGGGAGCGAACGGGAUUAGAUACCCCGGUAGUCCACGCCGUAAACGAUGGGUGCUAGGUGUUCGGGGGUAUCGACCCCCCGGGUGCCGCCGCUAACGCAGUAAGCACUCCGCCUGGGGAGUACGGCCCGCAAGGUUGAAACUCAAAGGAAAUUGACGGGGGCCCGCACAAGCGGUGGAGCAUGUGGAUUAAUUCGUCACUAACCGAAGAACCUUACCCAGGCUUGACAUCUGAGGCACCGGCGUGGAAAGCGUCGUUCCCUUCGGGGACCUCAAGGACAGGUGUGUUGCAUGGCUGUCGUCAGCUCGUGUCGUGAGAUGUUGGGUUAAGUCCCGCAACGAGCGCAACCCUCACCUGAUGUUGCCAGCGUAAAGUCGGGAACUCUUCAGGAACUGCCCGUGCAAGGCGGGAGGAAGGUGGGGGACGACGUCAAGUCGGCAUGGCCCUUACGCCUGGGGCUUCACACAUGCUACAAUGGACGGUACAGAGGGGGGCGAGACCGCGAGGUGGAGCGAAUCCCCAAAAACCCGUCCUCAGUUCGGAUUGCAGGCUGCAACUCGCCUGCAUGAAGCUGGAAUCGCUAGUAACCGCAGGUCAGCGAAAACUGCGGUGAAUACGUUUCCCGGGCCUUGUACACACCGCCCGUCAAGUCACCUGAAUUGUCUGCACCCGAAGCCGGUGGCCUAACCCGCAAGGGGAGGAGCCGUCUAAGGUUGUGGGGAGUAAGGGGGACU